CAAUACUGAGUUCGCAUAUUGCAACCUUCCUAAACACAUCCGAGGUUCCAGGGGCUUGGAUUUCGUAGGAUUCUCCACCCACAGAUGGCAUGGCCUGUGACACAGCUCACGCCUCCUUCCUGUGCAAGCCCUCCCUGGCCUGUCCGUGGUGAAAGGCUGGACAGGAGGUGGGCUCCUGACCUGAAGGGGAGGCCUGGGUUGGGGAUCUUCCUUUUGUUUUGAUGCUUUGAAGGGUCCCUGUGAUGUGCUCAGACACGGGUUCUUUUUCACUUAUCUUGUUUUAGGGUUACUCGCUUCCUGAGUCUAGGAUUUGAUGUCUUUCAACAUUCCAGAGAAUUCUCGGCCAUUCUCCUCUUUAACAUCAGACGGUUGCCUUUUCUCUGCUGUCCCCUCUGGGCUUCAGGGUAGCUGUUGUCAGAUCUCCUCACUCCGUCGUCUCCUGCCGUCUGUCUCUUGGGUCUUUCUGGGCUGCAUUCCAGCUAAGUUUUUGUUGAUGUGAUUAAUCCUCUACGUUUACUAUUCAGUGCUUUUAUAUUUUAACUUUUCAUUCUGAAAUAAUUUCAGACGUACAGCAGCCGUACCUACAACCCUCACCUGGGCUUGCUCAGAUGCCCGGGAUAGCCUGUCCCGUAGCCCCGGGCACAUCAAAGCCAGGAGGGUGCGACAGUGACCUUGCUCCGAGUCGGCCAGGGUCCCCCGGUUCCUUGUCUCUGGUUUGGAAAAGUUCCUGGUCUCUCUGCGGGGGAGCUGGUCUGUUAUUUGGUAAAGGUCCUUCCUUCAGGUUUUCUGAUGUUCCUCAAGGUCAAGUUCCUGCAUUCUUGGCCGAAGUGCACAGAGACGCCAGCAGCCUUGGGCCACCCUGGUGCCUGCUCUAGGAGGCGCCCAGCAGCUGGGAGCAGGACUUCUGACUGGUUUCCUUGCAAUAAAGGCCCAAUUCCUACCCCCUGCCCCGCCCUGUGCUGAAUCAUGUCUGUGGAGACUUGAUGACGCAAACAUCCUGUUUCUUUCCGUACUUUAAUUUCAACAUCCACGGAUGAUUCUUGCUUGAAAGAAUGGUCACUGUGGGAGUGGUCAACAGGGAGUUUUUCCCCAUUUUCCUCAUUGAUCACCUGGGAAUCUAGGGAAGAGCUUUUGCUUUUCUGCCACAAUUGGCUUCUAAAGUUCAAUUAUUAUCACUUUGAUUUCUGGGUGAUCCAUUCAAUUCUUGGUGGAAUCUUCAUGAUUUUUUCUGGUAGGUGCAGAAUCUUCAGCCUGUCUUUUCUCGUUGCCAAGGAAGCGAAUGUUCGACUUCUGCGCAUCUUCAGGGCCUGAAGCCUGUGCGGCCUGAGCCUGCUGCCUGCCCUUCCACUGGCUUCAGGGUCCGUUGGGACUAUUUUUUAACCACGAACUGCUCAAUUUUCUAGGAACUGAAAUAUUUUGAAGCCUGAGUUGGAUGAAGAUGUAAUGUCUAGAAAGGGCUUACUGUUUUCUUCCCACCCUAGGUCACUUCAAAUUCAGCUUUCUUGAUGGAGGGUUGGGACCCCACAGGCAGUGAACGUGGGCUGUGGAGGUUAAGAAUGCUCACCAAAUGGUUUCCCCACCAGGCACCAGGCUCCGUAUGGGAGCCCCGACGGCUGGGGCCCCUGCACAGAGGUGUACCCUGCAAGGCACAGUGGGGUGAAGGCUUCGAGACACCGGCUUCCUGCCCCUGCCUCCGGUGGUCCCCACUCAUGCCUUGGGGACCUGGUGCUGUACCUAUAUCCAUCUCUGAGCUCUGUGCAGUUCCAUGUUCACACGUGAGCAGAGAGACUUCCCACCGCAUCCAGACAAGCACCUCCCGCCACUAGGUUGGAGAGGCUCGGUGGCCUGGGUGACCCCAGCAGGCUGUUGUGAACAGAUAUCAGGGCCAGACUGACCUGGCCACCUCUCUGUUGUGCUGGUAGCCAUUAGGCUUGAUUAGGAAAGGUGGUCAGUGACAUCACAGGGGCUCCCUCCUGAGGGCUGAAUGGAGUGUCUAAGAAGCCCACCUUGCCCAGGGUGCACCCGCAGGGCAGUGACCAGCUCCACUGGCUGUUCUCCAUGGCUGGGGUCCCACUCCCCUGGGUCCCCUGCUCACUCUCUCUCUUAUCAGAGCAGGCUCAGGGUAGAGCCAGAGAGGGGAGGGGACAAGCCCCAGGGCCUGCCUGGAGGAAUCCGUCCUGUGGACUUGGCCACCCUGCCAGAAGCAGCAGCUGUGGAAUUUGCAUCCCGCUCCCUCUACUGUGCCAGUCUGCUCUGCUGGGUCCACCAUGAGCUCCGCGCCCCCACUGCGUUACAGGAACACUGUGAAGUGACCUGCCGGGAAGCAUGGCAGAUCUGCCUGGAACUCCAAGCCACAGUUCAAAUGCUGUUGAGUGUCCUGUCAGCCGGCCUGAGCCUUCCAGACCCCAGAACAUGCUGGAGCCCGAGGCCUGCCGGCUUCCUCUUGGGGCGCUGUCCCUGCAGGCCCUGGGCUGCCCCUCGCCCCGUCCUGGCCCGCCCUGGGGAGGCCUUCUCUCCCGCCCGGACAGCACACAGGCCUGCUCCCUGUAGUUGCUGCUUUCGCUCCGGCUCUGCCAGGCUUUUCUACCCGUCAUUAGCAUUUACAAUGGGCUUAUGGUCUCAGACUGUUUGGAAACUUCCAGUUAUAUUCAAAUCCAGGCAGAAGGCUGUGCAAAGAUCAGGCCGGCGAGGAAAGGUGUGUCUGCCCAGAAGUUCUGCUCACAGCCAUUUACAUCAAAUUAGGAAGACAUCGGGGCAACAGUGGGCACCGCCUCCCUGCUGGUGGCCAGGCACAGGGCACCAUGGUGCAGACCUGGGUGGGUGAGGGCCGGAGGCCUGUCUCCUGGAGGGGUGGGACCCCCCACUGGAGCCACCAAAGGCGGAGGACGCAGCUCAGCUAGAGGCAGGUCACUACCUCUUGGCUCAUGGUGAUGUCCUGGGGCUCAGGCAGUGCCUGGCAGGGCAACGACUGUACCAGCAGCUCAUGGACACUUGGCCAAGCCUCUGCCACUCAUCAUGUGUGGCUCAGCAAGUGAGGAGUACUCUCCCUCCAUGGGGGACUCAGGCCAGGGCGGGCAUCAGGCAUUUAUGAGCCCUGCUUGUGCCCUGAGGACCCGUCACACAUGCCCACGUCUGUGGGUGACCGCCAGACUGGCACUGCUGUCUGCCCAGGGAGGAGCGCGGCAGGAGUGAGUCGAUCCUAAAGCCAGACUUGCUCCCUUUGAGGUCCUGCUCUCUGUGGCUCUUCCGUACCAGGUUUCUUCUCUGGGGCUGACAACCAAGGCUGGAGAGACCCAGCGAAAACUUCAAUUCCCAGAGGUAGUCCUCAGGGCCUCCCUCCCUCCCGGCAUUUUAAACCCCUCAGCCUCAGGAGGCCACCUGCUCACCCUCCUCUUCUGUUUUUAUAUAGCCAGCUCUCAGGGCCAGGAGAGGGCUAAGCUGACCUAAUUCUCACUCAAUUGUGAAAGGUUACACCUCAUGACAGCACCGCACUGAACACGGAGACCAGUCUCUUAAAGUGGCACUCAGAUUAUGAUUAGCAAGGCCAAAGUUUAAUUUUGAUUUUUUAUUUUUAUUUAAUUUUGCUGGAGAAGCAGAUGGAACCCCCACACCUCAACCACCGUCCCACUGCAGUCCUGUGGCAGGACAGAGACAUGCCUUACCUCUGUGUGGUCAGUGGUGACCCCACAGCCCCCUCUGAGUUCUCCUGGGAUCCUGGGAGUGGUUUCCUGCCCUUGAAUGGCUGCGUGGGAAAGAGAAGGCAGUUCAGGUCCGGGCCGCUCCCGACUCCAGGGAAUGGCUCUGGAUAAUAAACAGCCUUCAAGGUGCCCCAAGGGACGCCAGAUCAAUCAUCCAGGUGACUCAACCAAAGCCGGAUCCCAUUUAAGAAAAGGACUCUCUUAGUUCAAUGGUUAAGACUGGACCAGGGACCAGCACUGGCCUUUGGACUGUGUACUCAGUCUCCCCAGGCCUCAGUGUCUACAUCUGUAAGCGGGAGGUGGGAGGCGCCUCCCCUCUGGGCCUGUUAGCUAACCUCACGGUUGUUACCCACUGCAGGCUGGGGAUGGGAGACCUCCAUCAGGCACAGCCACACCUGGCUCACCUGGCGGGAGCAGGCUGAUGGAGCAGGCGCCCGGCCAGUUUCCUGGAGGCAGCACACAGAUGUCGGCGGGCCCCAGGGGGGCUGUAAGGGUGU
rnacentral:lncRNA from 1 species